GUGCAUACUCUGUUUGAGGUUCAAAACUGUUUUUGUCCUCAGACCAGAGAACAAGAACCUUGAUUCAUUUGCCUUCCUCAGGUUGCCUGGUGGUGUCACAGAGGCACAGCUCACCCAAGCCCUUUUCUGCCACUGCUGAGGAUCAGUCCAUUCCAUUCCCAGAUUCUGACUGAGACAUUAUAGUCUGGAGAGGAUCAAGAUAUUUUGUGUGACCAAGUGGCUGGAUGCAGCACUCGUGUGAAAUCUGAUGGUCUGUGAUUGCCAGGCCAGGCACAGCAGUGAUGUUGGAAGUUGCCAUAUUCAUGAGGACUCAUGGCUUGAAGAACUCAAACUUUCUAAACCCAUGAGGCACUUAGUGAGAUUUCCAUCCAGUCCAGAGCUGCAGCCCAGCCAAAAUCUGCCAAAAGGGUUCAUGGAAGCAGUUCAUGGGUAGGAGACAAAGGCAUGCCCAGGGUUCUUUCCCUCCAUUCCAGCAGUGAAUGUCCUGCAUGACCAUGGGAAGACAGCAGUGUGAUGGUUUCAUCCUCGGGUAGGGAUUGGAUCCCCAACACCCCAUCCACCAGCUUAGCCCACAAGGUGGGUACGUGGGAUGAUCCUGAUGCAGCAGCCACACCCAAACACAAACUGUGUGUGGCAAUACAAGACUCACUUCUGCCUGAAAAUCUCAGCAUGGCUCAGGUGUGGAACAAGCUCUGCAUGGAGGAAACCUGCUGUCACCUCUGACAACAGACAGGGCCAUGGCUGAGGCUGUGCACAGAGACAGAGGGCAAAGGAAAGGAUUCAGCAGAAUAUUAUUUCUCGAUUCCCCUCCUGCAAUUAAGAAAGGGCUGUGUUUUUCACUUUCACGUGCCUCAGCUCCCACCAGCUGCAUGCACCCACCCACAGCAUGUGUGCUGUGUUUUCAUUACGGCUGUAGCCUCAGGUAGCGUGGAACUGGGGCCAAGCAUACAUUAGUAAAAUUAGAAGAAAUAUCAUCUGACGGGUCUGGACGGUGCUGUGGGCAGAGCAUAUUUGGCAAGACUGCUUCCUUCACAAUCCAGCCCAGAGACAUUCCCUGAUCCUAUCUGAGCAGGGACCGAACUUGCAAAACGAGUCCCAGCUUGUGAGCUGUGAGUCAGGGAUGUCUUAAACACUGCCUCAGCAUCCAACACCAACAAGCCCUUUUUAUCUUGUUCAUCCUGCUUAAAUAACUGCAGCAAGGCCUUGUGUUAACAGAGCAGCCUUGAGGGCCACAAGGCUGGGGUUUUUUCACACCCUCCAGCACUUGCCCCUUGUGUAUCUAGCUGGUUUUGACCCAUUAUUGUCCUUUUCUCUGGCUCAGCUAACGGGACUCAGCUGCAGUGCUCACAGACAGUGGUGAGCCAUAAGGAUUCAUCCAGUGGGUUUGUCUAUGCCCCAGCCUUUGAAGGAUGUGUGUGCUUAAAAUCAAGUACACUUUCCAACUUCUUUCGAGUACCUUCCUAGUAAAUAAAACCUCCUUCAUGACUCAAGGGACUUCAUAAAUUGCCUGCCAGGACAGGCCAGGACAGUCAGGAAUCUGUGGAAUACCCUCUGUUUACAUCCCAAGAUGAUAUCUGAGAAAACAUAGUUAGAAAUGUUGGAUUUGGAAACCAUUUGCUAAAAAUGGAGGGGAAAAACAUCAGGUCAGAGGAAGACAGGUCUUACAUCGAUCUGUUCCAGAAAACCCCACCUGGCAUUGGUACCACAGUGGCUCAAACUGUCCUGGCCCAAAUUUCAGUGACAGACUGAAAGAUGUGCAGAUGUGAAGGCAGUAUGGGUUAAUGACUGCAAAGGUGCAUUCACCUUGUUACUAGAAGAUGGAAAGAGAAAAUGUUAUUUAUUUGUGAAGCAAAGGAAUUUAGGACAAAUUUGUUGUAACAGAGAAUAAAAGCAUAGUGCUUUAUUCAAAUGCAGAGCAAAAGAGACAAAAGGCUGAUUCAAAAGGACUACAUGGGAUGUGCCUGAUGCCUUCAUAGCCUUGAUUUAUCUUACUGCAAAAACGGGCACAUCCCAGGGAAUAAAUGAGUUCUGGACUGUUAUAAACAAAUGGCAGUAUUUUGUGGGAGAGAGAGGGUCAUACCCUCAUGCACCAAGGAUGUACAAAGACUUACCAUUCUCUCAUGUACCAAGAAAGACAUGUUCAACUCUAAAUUUCUCAGAAGGGAAGAGAGGCAUCAGAUUGGAAAGAAAAUAAAUGCAGCUUGAAACUGG